CCGGGGUGUGACGCAGGAAGGUAGCCCAACCCGGGCGAUGGUUGUCCCGGGGCAAGUGCGUAGGCCGAGAGAUAGGCAAAUCCGUCUCUCAUGCAGGCUGAGACACGAUGCGGAUAAAAAGUGGGUGAUCCUAUGCUGCCAAGAAAAGCAUCGACGCGAGGUUCUAGCCGCCCGUACCCCAAACCGACUCAGGUGGUCAGGUAGAGAAUACCAAGGAGAUCGAGAGAAUCGUGGUUAAGGAACUCGGCAAAAUGCCCCCGUAACUUCGGGAGAAGGGGGGCCAUCCACUUAUUAGGACUUGCUCCGAAAGGGUGUGGUGGCCGCAGAGACUAGUGGGUAGCGACUGUUUAUUAAAAACACAGGUCCGUGCCAAGUCGCAAGACGAUGUAUACGGACUGACGCCUGCCCGGUGCUGGAAGGUUAAGAGGACCGGUUAGCCGCAAGGCGAAGCUGAGAAUUUAAGCCCCAGUAAACGGCGGUGGUAACUAUAACCAUCCUAAGGUAGCGAAAUUCCUUGUCGGGUAAGUUCCGACCUGCACGAAUGGCGUAACGACUUCCCAACUGUCUCAACCGCGAACUCGGCGAAAUUGCACUACGAGUAAAGAUGCUCGUUACGCGCAGCAGGACGGAAAGACCCCGUGACCUUUACUACAGCUUGGUAUUGGUGUUCGGUGUGGCUUGUGUAGGAUAGGUGGGAGACUGUGAAGCGGUGACGCCAGUUACCGUGGAGUCAUUGUUGAAAUACCACUCUGGUCACUCUGGAUAUCUAACUUCGAACCGUAAUCCGGUUCAGGGACAGUGCCUGGUGGGUAGUUUAACUGGGGCGGUUGCCUCCCAAAAAGUAACGGAGGCGCCCAAAGGUUCCCUCAACCUGGUUGGCAAUCAGGUGGCGAGUGUAAGUGCACAAGGGAGCUUGACUGUGAGACUGACAGGUCGAGCAGGGACGAAAGUCGGGACUAGUGAUCCGGCAGUGGCUUGUGGAAGCGCUGUCGCUCAACGGAUAAAAGGUACCUCGGGGAUAACAGGCUGAUCUUGCCCAAGAGUCCAUAUCGACGGCAUGGUUUGGCACCUCGAUGUCGGCUCGUCGCAUCCUGGGGCUGGAGUAGGUCCCAAGGGUUGGGCUGUUCGCCCAUUGAAGCGGUACGCGAGCUGGGUUUAGAACGUCGUGAGACAGUUCGGUCCCUAUCCGCUGCGCGCGUAGGAAAUUUGAGAGGAUCUGACCCUACUACGAGAGGACCGGGUUGGACGAACCUCUGGUUUGCC
rnacentral:rRNA from 1 species